CAGUUAAUAGUUUAAAUAAAAUUGAAUCUUUGGGAGAUUUUGAUAUGUAAUAAUUACAUUUUACUGA
rnacentral:tRNA from 2 species